GUGUCAGCAGCCGCGGUAAUACGUAGGGGGCAAGCGUUGUCCGGAUUUAUUGGGCGUAAAAGGCUUGUAGGUGGCCACGCCAAGUCGGAUGUGAAAUCUCCCGGCUCAACUGGGAGGGGUCAUUCGAUACUGGCGGGCUCGAGGCCGGUAGGGGGAAGUGGAAUUCCCGGUGUAGUGGUGGAAUGCGUAGAUAUCGGGAGGAACACCAGUGGCGAAGGCGGCUUCCUGGACCGGUUCUGACACUGAGGAGCGAAAGCGUGGGGAGCGAUCCGGAUUAGAUACCCGGGUAGUCC
rnacentral:rRNA from 1 species